CCAACGACACCACACCAUAGAGGGCGUUGCUUACGGUCUGUCAAUUCACCCACUGUCUGUCGCUCGGGAACCGGUUCGGGAGGACCUGCCUGUGGAGAAGUUUCCCGUAAUUCAUCUUGAAUAUGUUGAAUAAUGUAAACCGUGGCAGUCUUUUAGGUGGAUUGCUACUAGACGUUCUGGAGUAAAUGAAGUAGAGCAAACUAGUUCUGAGGUAUUCUGACGGUAUAAUAGGCAGGCAGAAGAGUAGCCUAUUCCUGGAAUUUUACGAAAACAGAAGUAAUAGUACAAGAUUAAAAACUUGAUCAGAAGAUGGCACUUGUCCAAAGUUACUUUUGCUGAAACAUGACCACUGUCUUAUGUCAUCCAAAUCUGCAUUAUCAAGGGCUGAGGACUCGGGGUGAUGGGAGACAAUGAGGAACUGAAGAGUGAGGAGUGGACUAAGCCCAUUUCGCCACAAUGAGGAACUGAAGAGUUGUAUACCAGAGUGGACUAAACCCAGUUUGUCACAAUGAGGACCUGGAAGGUUGUAUACUAGAGUGGAGAGUGGACAAUAAGGAACUGAAUCGUUGUACUAAGCCCAGUUUGUCACUAGGAUCCACGGUCUGUAAAGGUAAGACUAAUCAAAUUCG